GCGAAUUUUACUUUUUGUUUCCUCCAAUUUAUUAAUUUAUUUUAUUUUGUUUAAUUUAUUUAAGUCAGGAAUACGAAUGAAAACUUCAAGAAAAAUUCUUAAACAAUAAUUAAUGGGAAAUUUUAAAUUUAUUUUAAAAGAGUUUAUUUAUAAUUAUUUUUUAAUAGUCAACAGCUCUGACUUAAGCGUCAAAGCUAAAUUUUUUAAAUCAAAAAUAAUUGGGAAUUCGUCAUAAUCACUUUUAGAUAUAAGUAUGAAAUAAGUUAGAUAGAAAUAAUUCGGACAAUCCCUCAAAUACAGUUUCGGUUUUAGGGUUCGGCUUACACCCAACUGGGCAACAGAGCAGCUCCCUGCCAUUUGGAUGGUCACUUUUGCUCUGUUUGAUUGAUGGAUUCCCAUGUUUACCCAUCGAACCAUUACCAAAGAUGAUGAUGAAAGAAAAGUAGAAGAAGAAGAAAUGAGGGGCCAGCCACGCACAACGGGAGACGAACAGUUUUCGAUGGAGUAAUACUCGAUUAUCGUAAUAUAUCAUAAUUCCCUAGCUUCCAUGGGGCUAGCUCUCUGCGCUCUGACAGUUUUAAGGUCAAAGUUGAAAGCCUAUGAAAUGCAUUUGAUUAUUAUUAUUAUUAUGACUAUUGUGUUUAGUGUUUAGAGCGGAAACCUGAGCAGGAGAAUUGUGAAUGGAAUGGGGGUAGAAGAGCUAGGGCUGCUUUAAAUAAAUACUUUUAUAAAGACUAGAAUCUGAA